UUCUAUAGCCAUGCCACCCUGAACAAGCCCGAUUCCGUCUGAUCUCGGAAGCUAAGCAGGGUCAGGCCUGGUUAGUACUUGGAUGGGAGACCACCUAGGAAGACCAGGUGCUGUAGGCG
rnacentral:rRNA from 1 species